CUUUCAUCAAGAGGCUUUUUAGUUCAUCUUCACUUUCUGCCAUAAGGGUGGUGUCAUCUGCAUAUCUGAGGUUGUUGAUAUUUUUCCAGGCAAUCUUGAUUCCAGCUUGUGUUUCUUCCAGUCCAGCGUUUCUCAUGAUGUACUCUGCAUAGAAGUUAAAUAAGCAGGGCGACAAUAUACAGCCUUGAUCUACUCCUUUUCCUCUUUGGAAACAGUUUGUUUUUCCAUGUCCAGUUCUAACUGUUGCUUCCUGACCUGCAUACAGAUUUCUCAAGAGGCAGGUCAGGUGGUCUGGUAUUCCCAUCUCUUUCAGAAUUUUCCACAGUUUAUUGUGAUCCACACAGUCAAAGGCUUUGGCAUAGUCAAUAAAGCAGAAAUAGAUGUCUUUCUGGAACUCUCUUGCUUUUUCCAUGAUCCAGUGGAUGUUGGCAAUUUGAUCUCUGGUUCUUCUGCCUUUUCUAAAACCAGCUUGAACAUCAGGGAGUUCAUGGUUCACGUAUUGCUGAAGCCUGGCUUGGAGAAUUUUGAGCAUUACUUUAGUAGCAUGUGAGCCUUCUUUGGCAUUGCCUUUCUUUGGAAUUGGAAUGAAAACCGACCUUUCCCAGUCCUGUGGCCACUGCUGAGUUUUCCAAAUUUGCUGGAAGAAUGCAUUUGAAUCAAUUCUAAAGAGGUGGAUGAAACUGGAACCUAUUACACCAAGUGAAGUAAGUCAGAAAGAAAAACACCAAUAUAGUAUACUAACCCAUAUAUAUGGAAUUUAGAAAGAUGGUAACGAUGACCCUAUAUACAAGACAGCAAGAGAGACACAGAUGUAAAGAACAGUCUUUUGGACUCUGUGGGAGAAGGCGAGGGUGGGAUGAUUUGAGGGAGCAGUGUUGAAAUGUGAAGCAGAUCACCGGUCCAGGUUCAAUGCAUAAGACAGGGCACUCAGGGCUGGUUCACUAGGAUGACUCUCCGGGAUGGGAUUGGGAGGGAGGUGGGCGAGGGGUUCCGGAUGGGGAACACAUGUGCAGCCAUGGCUGACUUAUGUCAAUGUAUGGCAAAAACCACUACAGUAUUGUAAAGUAAUUGCAAGGAGAUCCAACCUGUCCAUUCUGAAGGAGAUCAGCCCUGGGAUUUCUUUGGAAGGAAUAAUGCUAAAGCUGAAACUCCAGUACUUUGGCCACCUCAUGUGAAGUGUUGACUCAUUGGAAAAGUCCCUGAUGCUGGGAGGGAUUGGGGGCAGGAGGAGAAGGGGACGACACAGGGUGAGAUGGCUGGAUGGCAUCACUGACUCAAUGGACGUGAGUCUGAGUGAACUCUGGGAGUUAGUGAUGGACAGGGAGGCCUGGCGUGCUGCAAUUCAUGGGGUUGCAAAGAGUUGGACACUACUGACUGACUGAACUGAACUGAACUGUGAAGCGCCAAGUCUGGAAAAUAAAUGCUUAUCAUGCCAUGUAGAGAUAAUGGGACAAGAAGAAUUUC
rnacentral:lncRNA from 1 species